AUUGAACGCUGGCGGCAGGCCUAACACAUGCAAGUCGAGCGAGCGGCGGACGGGUGAGUAAUGUCUGGGAAACUGCCCGAUGGAGGGGGAUAACUACUGGAAACGGUAGCUAAUACCGCAUACCAUCAGAUGUGCCCAGAUGGGAUUGGCUUGUAGGUGGGGUAAUGGCUCACCUAGGCGACGAUCCCUAGCUGGUCUGAGAGGAUGACCAGCAACACUGGACCGGAGACACGGCCCAGACUCCUACGGGAGGCAGCAGAGGGGAAUAUUGCACAAUGGGCGCAAGCCUGAUGCAGCCAUGCCGGGGGGAUGAAGAAGGCCUUCGGGUUGUAAAGUACUUUCAGCGAGAAGGCGUUACUCGCAGAAGAAGCACCGGCUAACUCCGUGCCAGCAGCCGCGGUAAUAC
rnacentral:rRNA from 1 species